AGAGUUUGAUCCUGGCUCAGAACGAACGCUGGCGGCGCGCCUAAUACAUGCAAGUCGAGCGAGAAGGUGUAGCAAUACACUUGUAAAGCGGCGAACGGGUGAGGAAUACAUGGGUAAUCUACCAUCGAGUGGGGAAUAACCAACCGAAAGGUUGGCUAAUACCGCGUACGCCUCCGAGUCUUCGGGUUCGGAGGGAAAGCUGCACUGUGAGUGUAGCGCUCUUUGAUGAGCUCAUGUCCUAUCAGCUUGUUGGUAGGGUAACGGCCUACCAAGGCUUUGACGGGUAGCUGGUCUGAGAGGACGAUCAGCCACACUGGCACUGCGACACGGGCCAGACUCCUACGGGAGGCAGCAGUAAGGAAUAUUGCGCAAUGGGCGAAAGCCUGACGCAGCGACGCCGCGUGGGGGAUGAAGGUCUUCGGAUUGUAAACCCCUUUCGGGAGGGAAGAUGGAGCGAGCAAUCGUUCGGACGGUACCUCCAGAAGCAGCCACGGCCAACUUCGUGCCAGCAGCCGCGGUAAUACGAAGGUGGCAAGCGUUGUUCGGAUUCACUGGGCGUACAGGGUGUGUAGGCGGUUUGGUAAGCCUUCUGUUAAAGCUUCGGGCCCAACCCGGAAAGCGCAGAGGGUACUGCCAGGCUAGAGGGUGGGAGAGGAGCGCGGAAUUCCCGGUGUAGCGGUGAAAUGCGUAGAGAUCGGGAGGAAGGCCGGUGGCGAAGGCGGCGCUCUGGAACAUACCUGACGCUGAGACACGAAAGCGUGGGGGAGCAAACAGGAUUAGAUACCCUGGUAGUCCACGCC
rnacentral:rRNA from 1 species